CUCCCUUCUGCUUCCAUCAGCAUGGGUUGGGAGACCAGAAGAGAGAUCUGGCAGUGGGAGGCACGGUAGGGGAAAGAGCUGGGAAGCCCCUCAGGAGUGGAGGUGGUCUGUGGGGAUCUGGAUCCAUGUAAUGGGGCAGGGCUGAGAGAUGGCUUCACCUCACUGGAUUCUUCCAUCCCCACAACCCUGAAGGAGAAACUCAAGCAAUUCACUGCAGGUUCCCCCACUAUGUCAUGAAACCCCACCCCAUCCUAAAGGGAAAGUCUGAGGGCAGUCACAGCUAGCUGAUAAGGAGCUAUGCAGAAGGAGCCAACAGUCUAAGAAAUUAGAAGUGCAUGGGAAGGGGGUUUCUGUUUGGCAGCCUUGCUGCUAUAGGCCCAAGAGAUCAAUAUGGAUUUUGUGAUAUCAUUAGGUUUAGAAUGUCUGCCUCUUCCCUGGCAGGAGGGUGCAUUCCAUUUCUCCAGCAAAAAAAUGAAGAGGAAGCUACAGUUUCCCACACUUAUAAUGCAGGUGAAACCCAAAUAGGAGAAGAUGGGGCCCUAUGUAAUGUACAAAAAAGGAGCUCCAUAAGAUUGGCAUUAUCCUGUAGUAGUGUCACAGCCUGCAGUCGUUUAAUGCCACUUCUUCUGAGGCCAGGAUUCCACGCCCAAGUGCAUUUAGUAGAGCAGAUGAAAGGAGUGGAAAACCUGCUUCUUUAG
rnacentral:lncRNA from 1 species